GAUGAACGCUGGCGGCGUGCUUAACACAUGCAAGUCGAACGGUGAACACGGAGCUUGCUCUGUGGGAUCAGUGGCGAACGGGUGAGUAACACGUGAGCAACCUGCCCCUGACUCUGGGAUAAGCGCUGGAAACGGCGUCUAAUACUGGAUAUGUGACGUGACCGCAUGGUCUGCGUUUGGAAAGAUUUUUCGGUUGGGGAUGGGCUCGCGGCCUAUCAGCUUGUUGGUGGGGUAAUGGCUCCCCAAGGCGUCGACGGGUAGCCGGCCUGAGAGGGUGACCGGCCACACUGGGACUGAGACACGGCCCAGACUCCUACGGGAGGCAGCAGUGGGGAAUAUUGCACAAUGGGCGCAAGCCUGAUGCAGCAACGCCGCGUGAGGGAUGACGGCCUUCGGGUUGUAAACCUCUUUUAGCAGGGAAGAAGCGAAAGUGACGGUACCUGCAGAAAAAGCGCCGGCUAACUACGUG
rnacentral:rRNA from 1 species